rnacentral:sRNA from 1 species
GAGGGGGGUUUAAUCUGGACUGAAUUGGAGGAAAGGAACUGGCACCAGAGUGGAGGCUGGAAGGAUGGUGGAACUGACACUGGGACAGAACACAGAAAACAGAAUAUAAUGCUAUUGCUCUGGCUGUAUCAAAUAAAAGUGUCAAGAGUGAGCAUCCUUGCAUUGUGCUGAAUCACAGAGGAAUACCUUUCAAUUUUUCUCCAUUGACUAUGAUAGCAGUGGGCUUUUCACAUGUGGGCUUUACUGUGUUGAGGUACCCUAAUGAUAAGUUCACCCCAGUGUUUUCUGAGGAGUCUACCUGGAAAUGAGAACCAUCUGUCCUUCCUAUAGUAGUUCUUCUCAGAAUGCCGACUCUAUGCUAAUGGAACCUUCAGAAAGGGCAGAAAGGAAGUUUACUUCUGCCUCUACAAUGGAUUUGCCUACUUUAGACAUGUUUUCAAGAUUUAUCCAUGUCAUGGCAUAUACCAGAACUUCAUUUCUUUUAUGAUUGAAUAAUAUUACAUGGUUUUAAUAUACUAUAUUUUGUUUAUCUGUUCAUCAAUUAAUAAAUCUUUGGGUUGUUUUCACUUUUAGGCUAUAAUAAUUAAUGCUGUUAGGAAUAUUUAUGUGUAAGCUUUUGUUAUAUGUUUUUAAUUCUCCUGGGUAGAUACUUAGGGAUAAAAUUGCUGAAUUGGAUUGUAGCUUUAUGUUUAGAAACUGCACAACUGUUUUCCAAAGUAACUAUCGUUUUUAUAUUUCACCAGCAUUGUAUGACAGUUCCGGUCUUUCCUUAUUUAAACUAAUACUUAAUUAUUGCCUUUUAUUGUAGCUAUCCUAGUAGAUAUGAAGUGUUAUCUCAUUAUGGUUUUGAUUUGCAUUCUCUAAUGACUAAUAAUAUCAAGCAUCUUUUCAUGUGUAUACAAGAUGUUUGUAUAUCUUCUUUAGAGAAAUGUCUAUUCAAAUCCUGUGCCUAUGUUUUAAUUGGAUAAUUUAUGUUUUUAUUGUUGAGUUGCAAUAGUUUUUAAAUAUAUUCUAGAUCCUAGACCUUUAACA